ensembl:lncRNA
CCCAGUAGUGAGAAUACACCAUGACAUGAUCCCUGCACAAAUCAUUCCCUUUCCCCCAUCCCAAUUACACAAUUAACUCUGCAUUUAAUCAUGCAAGUGUCCGGUGCUCAGGUUUCUUGGGGGACGGGAAGUUCGCGGGACCAGGAAGUGCGUGUGAUGUCAGUGCUUGUUUGUGUGGUGCGACAAUGUAUGGAUUAACGGCGUGAAAUGGGUUAUAGAGCGGAUACAACUGGUACCUAGCUGAUCGCUAUGAUGGUGAAUGGCAAAUGGUUUCAUCAGGUGUGAUGGGGACACAGAAAUGCAGGUUUGACCCAUUAAAAACAGUCCCUCCUUACCAUGAGAUCCGCUGGAAAGUUGCCGGUGAAACUCCUCUACUCAACACGCCUUUGCCUUCUAGUGGUCUUCAUCAUGUCAGAAGAUUACUUUGUGAGAAGGUGACAUCCCCCCUCUUCUCACUGACUCUCAAGAGAAGUUUGGCCCUGGUGUGGGGACUCCCCCGCCGCAAUGGUUGGGUCCGGGCUCCCUCACGAUAGUGGCUGGACCCGGGAGACCUAAUGGGUCCAAUUAAGCUCAACCGGUGCCUCAUUUUCAUGAGAGAGGACUUUAGAGAGAGAUUACCUUGGCAUGAAGGUAAAACCCUUCCCUGCUGUGAGGCGGAGUGUCUGUGUGUCUGUUUGUCUGUGUGUCUGUGUGUCUGUGUGUCUGAGUGUCUGUGUGUCUAGCUGUGUGUCUGUGUGUCUAGCUGUGUGGACACUGUUUCUCUGUGCUUUGUUGGUGUGCCUUGUUUAUUGUGCCUGUUUCUUUGUGCUUGUUUUGUUUGCCUUGUUUUGUACCGCUAGCUAAUGUACUCAGCAUCAUGCUUAGUGCCUGGGCCUAGUUUGGGGCCUGGCUUGUGCCCCGAGAGUGCCAGUAUUGGGCCUACAUGGGCCAAGCAGGUGCCGAGGGUGCCAGGACUUGAGUUACUGUGAGUACUGUUUUGUAUUUUGCUUUGUUUGUUUUAUUUUGUGGGCACCUGUUUAGGGGUUACUGGUGAGAGUCCCC